rnacentral:lncRNA from 1 species
UGGUCAAGGCUUUAACAUCUGUGAAUGGAAAGUGAUAUCUGCAUAAAAGGGAGAAAGGAUUUUGCUCCAAUUCACUCCUGCACUGCACCCCAUUCAUGGGGCAGGCAGAGAGGCUUCAUUUUCGGGUCAGAAUUAUAGGUAAGAUAUUUGUCUUAUUUUGUCGAUUCUGUUAGUUUUAAACAAUAGUUUAUAAAGUUGGUUAACAAUGUAUUUUCUAUUGUUCGGAAUAAGAGGUUAGGUUAUAUUAAAGUGCUAUAUAUCUUUGCUAGCAUAGCAUAUUUGUCUUAUUCUAAGGGGUUUUGUGAAUUAAAUAAUUAAUUAGUUAUGCAUCUGUCUUUGUUACUUCAGAUGAUUUUUGUGAUAUUUUAUAUUAAUUACUUGUACUUGUAUACUUGAUUGUAGUAUGUAGUUAUAAACAUAAAAUGUGUUCGGUUCUAAUCGUAAAGUAAAGCGAUUUAGUAAAAUGAUCUUUAGAGUUGAAGAUUUUGGUUAAAUUGAUUUUGGUUAUUGAAUUGUAAAUUCAAUGUUUCAGUUUUGUGUUUUCAGAGUAAAGGGUUACAAUAAUUGCUUACUAUGUGUAAUAAUUGUUACUUUCCUUUUAAAGGUAUUUGACAUGACAUUCGUGUAGCGGGUGAGGCUAUCACGAGAGGAAAUAUGGUCCUCUAGGCCAGAUUGCCAGGGUUUUUUAUUUCUUUAUCUUUUGUUCCUGUACUUGGAAAUUUUGGAAUUUUGUAUAUAACGACUCAUCGAUAUUAAACGAACCGAAACACAAGGAAUGGUGUCGUGUGUCAUCUUCUACAUCAGUUUCCGCGUGUUACAAAGUGGCGCUGCGAGCAGGGUCGAUGUUCGUCGUUGGAUACAACCAUGUUCAAACCCUGACAAUCUGAGGAGCUCAUCCGUCUGUUGUACAUCUUAAAUUUGUAAAUAUGAACGUAGCUUUAAGAUGUAUUUGUGUGUGUGCAUGGUGUGAAUGUUGUAGCCAAAAUGUAGUUUGUUUGAAAGUAAUAUGAGGCUACAAUGUAUUUGAUAGGGAUUUAUACUAGUGGGAAGGUAUUUUAUGAGGUACCCUGUAAGAGUUUUCAGAUCAAAUGGCUUUGGUCAAGGGAAUACUUAGUACUGUUCAAGGUUAAUUUUGUGUUGUCAUGGUAAUGCUGUGUUUUGGAACAGUCCAUGCCCCCUUUCUUAUGUAAUUUUGGCUGGUUGGAUGGGAACCACACAUUGGGGUGUAGGAGGCCAGAGACACCAGUAUUUUAUAUGUUGAUAGGAGGAAGUACAGUAUGUGCAGAGUAAGCUCUGGGUUUGGCAAACAUGAUUAACUAAUGAAUAGUUGAGGCGUUUCUUUGUCUGAUACUUGAAGUUUGUUAACUCUUUAAUUUUUGUUUUGGGUCUUGAUUAAUAUUCGGUUUAAUUAAGCUAUGGCGUGAAUUAAUGUUAAUUGCUUGAUCCAGAAUGUGUAUUUGAUAGUUUUAUAGGGCUACUUUGGAAAAAGUAGGGGAGCCCACAUGUUGAUGAAAGUGUUUUACUUUUAUGUGUCUGUGUGUUACAAUGGUUAUCAUAUUGUAAUAUGCUGAUCUUUCUGAUUUGUAACUGGGAUUUGGCUAGGAGUACUGCUAGGUUUAGUCAGGAUAAAGUAUCAAUGUUAAUUUCGAGAACCUCAAUCUGAGACCGGGAUUGCAUUAGAGGGAUACUGGAGUGACUAUUGGGGCAGUAAGGUUUUUCUCUUUACCUUUGUUUUUCUGUUAACCUUCGAGGCCGGAAAGGAUGCAGUGGUAGUCGAGAAAAUUAGUCAUAAGUUAUGAGAUAUUUCGGUGUGUUAUAUUGGUGAACCAUUGUUCCAUUGGAAAUUGCUAAGAUUUGGGAAAACAUUUAGUAAUUGUUAUUUGUUUAUUGUCUUGUAAUUCUUUAAAAGUUUGAAUCAGCUUGAAGUAUAAGUAGGUAUAUUUUGGGAGGUUUAAGGAUGACAUUGUAGUGAUUGAUUUACUGGCUAUAAUUAUAAUGGUCUGUUAUUCGUUGAGAUACAUGGAUUGUGAAGGUUUAUGUCGAUAACUAAACAAUUGGUUGGUAUAAACUCUGGAGCUGUUAGGAUCAGUUAGGAAGCACUUGGAAUGUUAAUGCUAGGAACCUCAACAUGAGACUAGUAUUACAUAAUAAGGAGUGUACUUGAAAACUGAAACAGUUGAGUUUUUGCACUAGAUAUGUUUUCUGUGUUUAUUCUCGUCACGAGACCAGGAAGUUCGUAUUAGUGGUGCGGGUUCGCCAAUACCGUGUUAUUGCCGAGAUUUUCAUAUUCUGUAUUUGGUGAUUAAUGGCUUUAUAUCUUUAAUGACAUGAUUAAGUGUAAAUUGAUUUGUUCUGUAACUGGGAACAAGCAUCUCUGGGUAGUGUUAUUUAAAGUAGGAUUUUAAUUUGUAAUAAUUUUGGUAAAGUGAGUGCCGGGACGUCACUCAAUUAAGUAGGGGAGUGUGUAACAGGUCAAAAUGAACUGUUUAUUGAAAAUUCAUAUAUUUUCAUUACUCUUAAUCAUUUGUCUUUAAGUAAUAGAUGCCUUUACAGGAAGUGCACAGGAAGUAGUAGAAAGUAGAAAUGUUUAACAAUCUUCAUGCUUUUUGAGAAGUAUGAUUCACACUCUUUCUGGGUAAGAGUGAUGCUAAAUGGUCUUUGGGUCAAAACAUCACAUUCCAGAGCUAUGAGCUUGUAGGACGUAGAUCAUUAUGGUCAAGGCUUUAGCAUCUGUGAAUGGAAAGUGAUAUCUGCAUAAAAGGGAGAAAGGAUUUUGCUCCAAUUCACUCCUGCACUGCACCCCAUUCAUGGGGCAGGCAGAGAGGCUUCAUUUUCGGGUCAGAAUUAUAGGUAUUUGACAUGACAUUCGUGUAGCGGGUGAGGCUAUCACGAGAGGAAAUAUGGUCCUCUAGGCCAGAUUGCCAGGGUGAGUGGUUAUCAUUUGUAAACCACUGUAUUUCAAUGCUAAUUUGUUGGCAUAUUUUAAUUGUUUGGUAAAUUUCACUUAAAGAGAAAUGCCAGU